GUGAAUCAUCGAAUCUUUGAACGCAAAUUGCACUCUCUGGUAUUCCGGAGAGUAUGCCUGUUUGAGGGUCAUUUUAAAUAAAAAUCUGUGUGUUUUCGGCCUUUCGUGUUGACGCACCUUAUGUUUGUCGUCUUGCCUUCUGUUAAGUGACCUAUAAUUUUGCAUGAUUUUUUUCUAACGCAUUUAAAUGAUUUUACGUACGUUUACGCUAUCGAUUACUAGUUGUGUUCAUCCUCAUGAUUGGCC
rnacentral:misc_RNA from 1 species